ACGGCCGUACCAUGCUGAAUAUACCGGUUCUCGUUAGAACCGAAGUCAAGCAUCAUUGGGCGCGGUCAGUACUUGAGUGGGUGACCA
rnacentral:rRNA from 1 species